rnacentral:rRNA from 1 species
AGUGAACGCUGGCGGUAGGCCUAACACAUGCAAGUCGAACGGCAGCACCGUAAGAGCUUGCUCUUACGGGUGGCGAGUGGCGGACGGGUGAGGAAUACAUCGGAAUCUACUUUUUCGUGGGGGAUAACGUAGGGAAACUUACGCUAAUACCGCAUACGACCUACGGGUGAAAGCAGGGGAUCUUCGGACCUUGCGCGAUUGAAUGAGCCGAUGUCGGAUUGGCUAGUUGGCGGGGUAAAGGCCCACCAAGGCGACGAUCCGUAGCUGGUCUGAGAGGAUGAUCAGCCACACUGGAACUGAGACACGGUCCAGACUCCUACGGGAGGCAGCAGUGGGGAAUAUUGGACAAUGGGCGCAAGCCUGAUCCAGCCAUACCGCGUGUGUGAAGAAGGCCUUCGGGUUGUAAAGCCCUUUUGUUGGGAAAGAAAAGCAGUAGGUUAAUACCCCGCUGUUCUGACGGUACCCAAAGAAUAAGCACCGGCUAACUUCGUG